AUACGGAGGGUGCGAGCGUUAAUCGGAAUUACUGGGCGUAAAGCGUACGUAGGCGGUUGGUUAAGUUAGAUGUGAAAGCCCCGGGCUUAACCUGGGAACUGCAUUUAAAACUGGCGAACUAGAGUUGAGUAGAGGGGAGUGGAAUUUCAGGUGUAGCGGUGAAAUGCGUAGAGAUCUGAAGGAACACCAGUGGCGAAGGCGACUCCCUGGACUCGAACUGACGCUGAGGCACGAAAGCGUGGGUAGCAAACGGGAUUAGAAACCCCAGUAGUCC
rnacentral:rRNA from 1 species